GAAAAAAAGAAAGCUGCAAUUGGCACAACAAUCCUAUUGGGACCUCUUCACAAACACCAUCAUCCACUGGAGUCUACCGAUACUAGGACAUCUAGUUGGGGUCUUUUCAUUCUGUGCCUUCCUUCCUUGCAUUUUAAAGUUCCUUCAAGGACAAAUUAACAAAAUCUCUAACCAAACUUUCAAUCAGUUCCUUCUCAGGGAUUACCAGCUACUUGCCAACAAGCCGGGUGACACUCACAUCCACUCAUCCCAAGAAACCUCCACCAAGUGUUGAAAGAUGAAGAUACCAAAUGACAACUCCGCUGAAGGGCCAUCUCUACACCACCAUUCCAAAGAAAUAAGCCCUUGGUUUUCAGCUAUAUAUGUUCUAAUCUGCCUUCUCCUGGAUAUAGGCCUUUUCUACCAGCCCUACAGACUGGACAACAUACCAGAAAUUAAUGUUGUUUCUUUUCAUAGCUGCAGGGCCUGUUCAUAGACUUCUCCCUGGAGGAAAUCCAUGCCUUCAGUGCAUGGAUAUGGGGCCUCCUGGCCCUCCUUCUCCAACCAACUGACCUCCCUCCCUCCCUCUAAACAACGCCCCUACUCAGCAGUAAGUAGCCAGAUCAAGAACGGUGCCCCCAAACCAAAACAAAAAAGGGAGGAAUAU
rnacentral:lncRNA from 1 species